GGGCCCCUUCAAGUUCCUGGAACCUCCCAGGAUGCUCCUGAAGGUAGUUAUAGUUCAGCUGUAACUUGGGUCUUAGGAACACAUGGUACCAGCCACACUCAAACGGCCCUGAACGUUAACGUAUGUGGUCCUGAGUUCUCCUCUAGGACAUUCCUCUCUCAAAUCAAAAUUUGUUUAAAUGGCUUUUAUGGUCCUCCAUGAUCUGGCUCCAGCUUACCUCUGUGGCUUAAGGCCUGUCACUCCCCAUCAUUAUCUACACUUCAGCCACUCCAGCCUUUUUUGUUUUUUUUGAGGAAGAUUAGCCCUGAGCUAACAUAUGUUGCCAAUCUUCCUCUUUUUGCUGAGGAAGACUGGCCCUCAGCUAACAUCUGUGCCCAUCUUCCUCUACUUUAUAUGUGGGACGACUACCACAGCUUGGCUUGCCAAGCAGUGCCAUGUCCGCACCCGGGAUCCAAACGGGUGAACCCCUGGCCACCAAAGCAGAACGUGCAAACUUAACCGCUGCGCCACCGGGCCGGCCCCUACUCCAGCCUUUUGACUGUCCCUGGAUCACACCUCGGGGCUCUUUCACUUGCCGUUCACCCUACCUAGAAAUUUCUUUCCCCAGAACUUCACACGGCUAAUUCUUGUCAUUCAGAUGCCAACUCAAGGUCACCUCCUUACAGAUGCUUAUCUUGACCAUCCAGUGUUGUCACCCUUGCCCACUCUCCAUCUCACUACCUUGUUUUAUUUUCUUCAUAGCACUUAUCACAUUCCACACUUAUUUUCUCUUUGCUUGUCUAGCUGCUUAUUGUGCCUCUCCCACACUAGAAUGGAAACUCCAGGGGAGCAAAAGCCUUGCCCAUCGUGUUCACUGCUGUAUCCCAAGUACCUAGAACGAAGCCAGGAACAAGCUGUCAAUCAAGAAGGAUCUAUGAGAUGAAGGAGUGCCUUACUCCUUUGCCCCACCCCUUUCAUCCAGUGUUCUCCAGGAGCAAAGCCAGCAUACCAAAGGCAAGGUUCAUGCCUAAGAUGGCGCGGGUUUGACAGACACCACCAGGAACCCCUGACAGGAGGAGUAAGCUCACCACUGCGUUUGAAUCCUGGCUCCAUCGCUGCUAGCUGUGACCUUGGACUCACUUCCAGGGUGUGUGACCUUGGGCUCAUCUCUCUAUGCCUCAGUUUUCCUCCUGUGUAAAACUUGGAGAAGAAUCGCACCUACCGCACAGGAUCACGGUAAGGAUAAAUGAGAUAGGACACACCAAGCAGCUACACAGUGCCAGAGCCAUUGGAUCAGUAGUCCUGGAUGCAGAGUUGGGGAGGGGCAAGCACAAAGCCCGAGGGAUGGCCUACGUACAAAAGGCGGCCCCAUUUGCACUUCCUCAAGGGAGCUUUGGGAGGAUGAGGGGAGAUUGAAGGCCACUGCCCUGCUUUAACCCAUCAAGCUUGUUACUGUUGGCAAAGCCAGACAGAACCACUUAUCAAGAGUCAUUUUGGGGCUCCACAAAUAAUUGCCCAGCACCUGCCAGGUGCCUUAGAGAAGACUGCCCUCUGGGAGCUUAAUUUAGGAGUAGAAACAAGAUAAAAACACAAGACCAAAGAUAACAGAGGAGAGGCGGGAGACGGAGGAACGCCAGGGCACAGUGUGCUGGCACUGGACCAACUUUGCGCCUGGUACCCGGAGAGAGGGCACCCCUUCCCACGGGCCCCUCCAUAGGAUGCCUUGGGCGUAAAAUAGAGUCAGUGGUUAAAAGAUUGCUCUUCCCAGCCAGGCACACCCUGUUUUAAAUCAUAGCUCCUGUGUCACCUCAAGUACCUGACCUCACCUCUCUGAACCUCAUUGCCUCAUUUAUAAAGUAGGGAUAAUAUUGGGACAUAUUCACAGGGUUCUUGGGGGGAUUUAGGGCGGAUUACAUUAAAAGUAUGUGGCACAAGGCGUGCAAAUAGGAAACAGGCGGCAAAUGCCAGCCAUAGUUGUUGUGUUGUUGUUAUAUUUAUCCUAGUUGCAAGCACUUCAAAGAAACAUCUCUAGCAUUUGCCACUUUAAUUUAUUUCCCAAACCACAUUUACAUGGAGCUUCUGCGCCAGCCACUGUGAUGGAAUUGUCUUAACAAACCUAUGAGGAAGGUACAUUUUUUUGUCUUCUUUUCUUUUUUUACACAUAACAAUAUUUGCCAUCAUAACCAUUUUUGUGUUCAGUAGUGUUAAGCAUGUUCACUUUCUUGCAAAAUUCACAUUUACGUUCAUGUUGUUGUGCACAUCGUUGUGCAACAGCUCUCUAGAACCUUGUCAUCUUGAAAAACUGAAACUCAUCUCCCAUUUCCCCCUCCCCCAACCCCUACUUUCUGUUUCUAGGAAGGUACUAUUUUAACCCUGUUUCACAAGUCAAGAAACCAACAGCAGCUACAUAAUUUGCGGGGCUCUGUGCAAAAUUAAAAUUAUGAGGAAUGUCAAGAUGGCAACAGCAGAGCAUUAAACCAAGCACAGCGCCGUUCUGAGUGCAGUCACAUGGGGCCCAUGAAACAGGCCCUGGAGGAAACCAAGGACCAGAGAAGUUGUUACUGUCCCAAGGUCACACAGCAAAUUUUGGAGACUCUAAAAUUACAUUACCUCCUUUACUUAUUGUAAACUCUCUGCAGACAGGGGCUUUGAUUGCCCAGUGCCCAGCACAGUGCCUGGCACACAGUGGCACUCAUUACAGAUUUCAUAGCUGGGGGAAUGGAUGAACAAGUCCCAUUCACUCGAGAAAAAAGAGGCUUCUCCAAGUUUCUGUGCUUUGCCCCAGCUCUGGCACAGUAACAUUCCCAUCCCUGCUCCUCCUUUGUGUUUACCUAGUGCCCUCUGAUUCCUAGGAGAAGGCAGAGCGGCGUGUGUCUGUCUAUAUAUAAUGUCCCCUAGCACUUUUAUGAGGCCCCACCCCUGCAGUACAUUCCUGGUUUUGAGUCCCACUUUUAUGGAGUGGAGUGAAGCUAGAAGACACUGGACAAAGUGAGGUCACUAGUGACAUGCCUUGGUUCCAGGUCCCCAGGUCACCCAGAGUCUGAUGGCUAAGUCCCCUCUCGGAUGUCAACAGAGGAAAACUAGAAUUGAAUUACUAAAGUAUGACCAAAACGAAAGUAAUGAAUACAUACCUGUGAACCCACCCAACAACAAGAUCAUUACCAAAAACUCAUAUCUCCCCUGGGCUCCCCAUCUAGCUCAUCCUUCCAUCUCGGAGGAAUUUGGGCUGACUGACACUGAAAUUUUGGCACAAGGAAAUAAGGGGUUUUUCAAGAAAAGCAGCAGUUCUCAAGCGGACCCAAGAGCAAGAAAAUUUCGGUGAGUUACCUAAGAAGGCAAAAGCGGGAGAAAUCUGUUAUUUGUGAUACGGUUGAGUUAAAUUGUAUUUGUGUCUUUGAGGCUGCCCUUGAUUUGUCAAAAUCUUAUUGCCACGGUAUUUCUAUAGACCGUGUAAAAUGUAUUUAGUUAUUCAACAUAUAUUUAUUGAGUGCCUACUAUGUCCAGGCAGUGUUCUAGGGGUUGGGGAUACAGCAUAAACAAAAGAGAUAAAAAUCCCUGUUUGCCGCUCCAGGAGAGACAGACAAUUAAAAAUAAGCAUACACUUGAUCAAGUAGCAAUGAAUGCCUGGAAGAAAGUAAAAAAGGGUAAAGGAAGGGAGAAGGAUGGCCGUCCUAUUUAGAUAAAGUGGCCUUAGGAGAUUUUUUUUGACAAGAUGAUGAUUGCUUUAAACCAAGUUCAGUAAGAAUUUGGAGUGUGUAUUUGGGAAGUCCUGGUAAAUUUUGCCACAUCUUGGCAGUGUGAUCUUCUUCUCAGUGACUAACUUCUCUGAGUCCCCCUGUAAAAUUAAGAGAGGAUGAGGAAAAUGCAUUGUAAAUGAUAGUGAUUAUCACAGUUUAUGAAUGCAAGCUGAUUAUAUUAUGAAUUUUAUGGAUGUAAUAAUAACUUCCCCAGGCCCCAAAGUAAGAAUAUUCCAAUCCACUGAGGGGGUUCUUGGCACAGUGCCUGGCAUUUAUAAUUAGGAAUGGGAUUUGGGACCAGCCACGGAGUAGGCACUCCCCUGAUUCUGCGAAUUCAGAAAGUGUAUGAUUGCUAACUUCAGUUCCCUCAUCUAUAAAUUGGAAAUAAUGGUGGUGCUGACCACUUAGGGUUAUUUCUUUACAUUGUUAAACUGACAUUUAUUGAGCCACAUUGAAUCAUGCAUCAGGCAUGGUCCUAAACAAUGGAAAUGUAUUCAUUCAUUUAAUCGAUAACAGCCCAGUAAAUCAAAUAUUAUUUUUUAACAGAAAUUUACAGUCAAGGAAAC
ensembl:lncRNA